rnacentral:rRNA from 1 species
ACAAGCAGCGGAGCAUGUGGUUAAUUCGAAGCAACGCGAAGAACCUUACCUAGACUUGACAUCUCCUGAAUUACCCGUAACUGGGGAAGCUCUUCGGAGCAGGAAGACAGGUGGUGCAUGGUUGUCGUCAGCUCGUGUCGUGAGAUGUUGGGUUAAGUCCCGCAACGAGCGCAACCCUUAUCGUUAGUUGCUACCAUUAGGUUGAGCACUCUAGCGAGACUGCCCGGGUUAACCGGGAGGAAGGUGGGGAUGACGUCAAAAUCAUCAUGCCCCUUAUGUCUAGGGCUACACACGUGCUACAAUGGUGAGGACAAAGAGACGCAAGACCGCGAGGUGGAGCAAAUCUCACAAACCUCAUCCCAGUUCGGAUUGCAGGCUGAAACUCGCCUGCAUGAAGCCGGAGUUGCUAGUAAUCGCGAAUCAGCAUGUCGCGGUGAAUACGUUCCCGGGCCUU